rnacentral:siRNA from 1 species
AGCCGCACUCCUCACCGUGAAAC